UUGCUGUUGUUGUGCUGUAACUUCCUCAGUUCUUUACGUCUAUUGACUAAACUUGUUCUUCUCUCCCCAGGACCAAGAGAAGCAGAGCGUGAAGAGCCAGGGAUGGCUCCAUCCAUCUAACUCACAGAUUAAUGGGAGACACAGUGUUCACUUAUUCGCCAAGCUACUAUUUCCCCCACGGUAAUUCAAGUCUCCCAAGAAGAAACUUUGGUAAUGAACAUGGCCUCUCUGUUUUCCGCUGUAAGCAGCAGAAAUCCCCCUGCAGGCGCUCUACUAGACCUUUUAUCCAUACUCAGGAAAAAGAAUUGAUUGAUUUUGAAGUUCAAUGUUGGCAUCUGCUGUUAUUCAAAACCAGGACCUUGGCUACAGUAAUCCACCACGCUUUCAGCACCACCACCCGUGUGCGGCAAAUGAAGGCAAGCUGUUGUCGAAUGAGAAAUGCAAAAUAGCCAAUCUGUUUGACUGUUUAAUGUAACCAGGAACAUAAGCUGCUAAAAGUGGUGCCAUUCGGCACUGUCAGAUGGGGGACACUCUCCAACAAACAAAAGCCUAAUGACCCGUUUUACUCGGCACUCCAAGUUGUUGCUGAUGGUGUCUUCCAUAUGCACUCAAACAUGCUUUUAUCUGAAACUGCAAAUGACAUGAUUUUCCAUUCAAAACAAGUGUGUAAUCUCUCUGUCUGUGUGUGUGAGUGUGUGUGUGUGUGUGUGUGUGUGUGUGUGUGUGUGUGUGUGUAUGUGUGUGUGUGUGUGUGUGUGCGCACAUAUAUGUGUGCAUGGGUGGGUAGGUAGGUGCAUUUGUAUGUGGGUGUUGGGAGAGAAGGGGAGAGCGGUGUCCCCCAUCCCUGACUGUGCAUCAACGAGCAAAGUUGAUGGUUGAGACAUCUUUGAGCGGGAAGCAUAUUGUGGCAGCAUCUGACUCUCCUCUUGCCCUUACACCUGUCAUUGUACUGUAUUAAAGGGAAAAAUCAAGUCAUUAGCCA
rnacentral:lncRNA from 1 species